rnacentral:tRNA from 1 species
GCCCCCGUGGCGCAACUGGAUAGCGCAGUCAGCUUCUACCUGACGGGUUGCGGGUUCGAGUCCUGCCGGGGGCG